GACGAACGCUGGCGGCGUGCUUAACACAUGCAAGUCGAACGGUGAAGGGACGGGUUUUUGCUGGUUCUGGUUGCGUGGGGAACGGGUGAGACACACGGAAGUAACCUGCACCCUUCUUCUGUAUAACCGCAUGAACGUGUGGCUAAUACGAGAAUAUCUUCGCCUGCUGCAUGCAGGGGUUGGAAAAGAUUUUGUUUUGGCGGGGGAAGGGCUCGCGGCCCAUUAGGUUGGUGGUGGGGGGAUGGCCUACCAAGGCGGUGAGGGGUAGCCGGCCUGGGGGGGUGGACGGCCACACUGGGGCUGAGACACGGGCCAGACUCCUACGGGAGGCAGCAGGGGGGAAUAUUGCACAAUGGGCGCAAGCCUGAUGCAGCGACGCCGUGUGAGGGAUGGAGGCCUUCGGGUUGUAAACCUCUUUCGCCAGUGAAGCAGGCCUGUCCCUUUUGUGGGUGGGUUGACGGUAGCUGGAUAAGAAGCGCCGGCUAACUACGUG
rnacentral:rRNA from 1 species